rnacentral:rRNA from 1 species
GAUGAACGCUGGCGGCGUGCCUAAUACAUGCAAGUCGAGCGAACAGACGAGGAGCUUGCUCCUCUGACGUUAGCGGCGGACGGGUGAGUAACACGUGGAUAACCUACCUAUAAGACUGGGAUAACUUCGGGAAACCGGAGCUAAUACCGGAUAAUAUAUUGAACCGCAUGGUUCAAUAGUGAAAGACGGUUUUGCUGUCACUUCUAGAUGGAUCCGCGCCGCAUUAGCUAGUUGGUAAGGUAACGGCUUACCAAGGCAACGAUGCGUAGCCGACCUGAGAGGGGGAUCGGCCACACUGGAACUGAGACACGGUCCAGACUCCUACGGGAGGCAGCAGUAGGGAAUCUUCCGCAAUUGGGGAAAGCCUGACGGAGCAACGCCGCGUGAGUGAUGAAGGUCUUCGGAUCGUAAAACUCUGUUAUUAGGGAAGAACAAAUGUGUAAGUAACUAUGCACGUCUUGACGGUACCUAAUCAGAAAGCCACGGCUAACUACGUG